rnacentral:rRNA from 1 species
AUUGAACGCUGGCGGUAGGCCUAACACAUGCAAGUCGAGCGGAUGAAGGGAGCUUGCUCCUGGAUUCAGCGGCGGACGGGUGAGUAAUGCCUAGGAAUCUGCCUGGUAGUGGGGGAUAACGUCCGGAAACGGGCGCUAAUACCGCAUACGUCCUGAGGGAGAAAGUGGGGGAUCUUCGGACCUCACGCUAUCAGAUGAGCCUAGGUCGGAUUAGCUAGUUGGUGGGGUAAAGGCCUACCAAAGCGACGAUCCGUAACUGGUCUGAGAGGAUGAUCAGUCACACUGGAACUGAGACACGGUCCAGACUCCUACGGGAGGCAGCAGUGGGGAAUAUUGGACAAUGGGCGAAAGCCUGAUCCAGCCAUGCCGCGUGUGUGAAGAAGGUCUUCGGAUUGUAAAGCACUUUAAGUUGGGAGGAAGGGCAGUAAGUUAAUACCUUGCUGUUUUGACGUUACCAACAGAAUAAGCACCGGCUAACUUCGUG